CAACAACUCAUAACAAACAACACGGUGUCAACUCUCACAAAAUUUCCCUCAUUUUCCUGAGAAAAUCUCCCUUCUUAUGGGCCGAAAUUUCUCUCCAUCCCAAAUCGAUGAAGCUGCUACCACCACCGCCACUGCCUCGUCUUCUACUACCUCCAUCUUCUUUGCCACUAACGGCAUCGCUUAUAGUGGCAAUGGAGAAAACAACAACACUGACCAAGUUUCCAUUUGAUCCCGGACGGUUUUCGUUUUGUGAUGAGCGACUCCGCCUUUUGCAAAGCCUUUCGGAAAUACCCCGAUCCAGUCGAAAUCGAGAAGAGCACGAGCCACCAAUUGGUCGAGGUCCCCACUAGUCCUCGACACUGAAGUGCAUUAAGAAGAGACGGUACACUAGUGUGAAAUGAAGUCAUCGGACGCGUCGCCCAUUUACUAGAGUGGAAAUGCAAGAGGGCCUGAUCAGGAGCAUGCUUAGAUG
rnacentral:misc_RNA from 1 species